GAUGAACGCUGGCGGCGUGCUUAACACAUGCAAGUCGAACGGGAAAUAUUUCAUUGAGACUUCGGUGGAUUUGAUUUAUUUCUAGUGGCGGACGGGUGAGUAACGCGUGGGUAACCUGCCUUAUACAGGGGGAUAACAGUCAGAAAUGGCUGCUAAUACCGCAUAAGCGCACAGAGCUGCAUGGCUCAGUGUGAAAAACUCCGGUGGUAUAAGAUGGACCCGCGUUGGAUUAGCUAGUUGGUGGGGUAACGGCCCACCAAGGCGACGAUCCAUAGCCGGCCUGAGAGGGUGAACGGCCACAUUGGGACUGAGACACGGCCCAGACUCCUACGGGAGGCAGCAGUGGGGAAUAUUGCACAAUGGGGGAAACCCUGAUGCAGCGACGCCGCGUGAAGGAAGAAGUAUCACGGUAUGUAAACUUCUAUCAGCAGGGAAGAUAGUGACGGUACCUGACUAAGAAGCCCCGGCUAACUACGUG
rnacentral:rRNA from 1 species